GACACGGUGGCGCAGUAGGUAGUGCUGUUGCCUCACAUGCAAGAGGGUUGCUGGUUCGAGCCCCAGCUGGGUCA
rnacentral:tRNA from 1 species